UUCCCGGUGUAGCGGUGAAAUGCGUAGAUAUCGGGAAGAACACCAGUGGCGAAGGCGCUCUGCUGGGCCAUCACUGACGNUCAUGGACGAAAGCCAGGGGAGCGAAAGGGAUUAGAUACCCCUGUAGUCCUGGCCGUAAACGAUGAACACUAGGUGUCGGGGGAAUCGACCCCCUCGGUGUCGUAGCCAACGCGUUAAGUGUUCCGCCUGGGGAGUACGCACGCAAGUGUGAAACUCAAAGGAAUUGACGGGGGCCCGCACAAGCGGUGGAGUAUGUGGUUUAAUUCGAUGCAACGCGAAGAACCUUACCAGGGUUUGACAUCCUGCGAAUCUCUUGGAAACGAGAGAGUGCCUUCGGGAGCGCAGUGACAGGUGGUGCAUGGCUGUCGUCAGCUCGUGUCGUGAGAUGUUGGGUUAAGUCCCGCAACGAGCGCAACCCACGUCUUUAGUUGCCAGCAUUUAGUUGGGCACUCUAGAGAGACCGCCGGUGAUAAACCGGAGGAAGGUGUGGAUGACGUCAAGUCAUCAUGCCCCUUACAUCCUGGGCUACACACGUACUACAAUGCUACGGACAAAGAGCAGCAAGUUCGCGAGGACAAGCAAAUCUCAUAAACCGUGGCUCAGUUCAGAUCGUAGGCUGCAACUCGCCUACGUGAAGGAGGAAUCGCUAGUAAUCGCAGGUCAGCAUACUGCGGUGAAUACGUUCCCGGGCCUUGUACACACCGCCCGUCACACCAUGGAAGUUGGCCACGCCCGAAGCCGUUACUCCAACCCUUGUGGAGGAGGACGUCGAAGGUGGGGCUGAUGACUGGGGUGAAGUCGUAACAAGGUAACC
rnacentral:rRNA from 1 species